AAACUUAAGAGUUUGAUUCUGGCUCAGGACGAACGCUGGCGGUGUGCUUAAUACAUGCAAGUCGAGCGGACUUACGGGAGCUUGCUUCCGUAAGUUAGCGGCGGACGGGUGAGUAACGCGCGAGCAACCUGCCUAUAUCUGGGGGAUAACACAGAGAAAUUUGUGCUAAUACCGCAUAUGACCACAGUGGGGCAUCCC
rnacentral:rRNA from 1 species